rnacentral:rRNA from 1 species
AGUGAACGCUGGCGGUAGGCCUAACACAUGCAAGUCGAACGGCAGCACAGUAAGAGCUUGCUCUUACGGGUGGCGAGUGGCGGACGGGUGAGGAAUACAUCGGAAUCUACUUUUUCGUGGGGGAUAACGUAGGGAAACUUACGCUAAUACCGCAUACGACCUACGGGUGAAAGCAGGGGAUCUUCGGACCUUGCGCGAUUGAAUGAGCCGAUUUCGGAUUAGCUAGUUGGCGGGGUAAAGGCCCACCAAGGCGACGAUCCGUAGCUGGUCUGAGAGGAUGAUCAGCCACACUGGAACUGAGACACGGUCCAGACUCCUACAGGAGGCAGCAGUGGGGAAUAUUGGACAAUGGGCGCAAGCCUGAUCCAGCCAUACCGCGUGGGUGAAGAAGGACUUCGGGUUGUAAAGCCCUUUUGUUGGGAAAGAAAAGCAGCAGGUUAAUACCCCGCUGUUCUGACGGUACCCAAAGAAUAAGCACCGGCUAACUUCGUG